rnacentral:rRNA from 1 species
UGGGAAUUUUGGACAAUGGGCGAAAGCCUGAUCCAGCAAUGCCGCGUGUGUGAAGAAGGCCUUCGGGUUGUAAAGCACUUUUGUCCGGAAAGAAAUCCUUGGCUCUAAUACAGUCGGGGGAUGACGGUACCGGAAGAAUAAGCACCGGCUAACUACGUGCCAGCAGCCGCGGUAAUACGUAGGGUGCAAGCGUUAAUCGUAAUUACUGGGCGUAAAGCGUGCGCAGGCGGUUUGCUAAGACCGAUGUGAAAUCCCCGGGCUCAACCUGGGAACUGCAUUGGUGACUGGCAGGCUAGAGUAUGGCAGAGGGGGGUAGAAUUCCACGUGUAGCAGUGAAAUGCGUAGAGAUGUGGAGGAAUACCGAUGGCGAAGGCAGCCCCCUGGGCCAAUACUGACGCUCAUGCACGAAAGCGUGGGGAGCAAAACNGGAUUAGAUACCCUGGUAGUCCACGCCCUAAAACGAUGUCAACUAGUUGUUGGGGAUUCAUUUCCUUAGUAACGUAGCUAACGCGUGAAGUUGACCGCCUGGGGAGUAC